AGCUGCCCGACAGAGGAGGGAUACCAGGUUGGAAACGACUGUUAAUACCGCAUAACGUCUACGGACCAGAGUAUGGGACCUUCGGGCCAUAUGCUGUCGGAUGCACCUAUAUGGGAUUAGCUAGUUAGGUGGGGUAACGGCUCACCAAUGCGACGAUCCCUAGCUGGUUUGAGAGGAUGAUCAGACACACUGGAACUGACACACGGUCCAGACUCCUACGGGAGGCAGCAGUGGGGAAUAUUGGACAAUGGGCGCAGGCCUGAUCCAGCCAUGCCGCGUGUGUGAAGAAGGCCUUCUGGUUGUAGAGCACUUUCAGCGAGGAGGAAGGGGUUGUAGUUGAUAGCUGCAACUUUUGACGUUACUCGCACAAGAAGCACCGGCUAACUCCGUGACAGCAUGCGCGGUAAUACCGAGGGUGCAAACGU
rnacentral:rRNA from 1 species